rnacentral:rRNA from 1 species
AGCAGUCGCCGCGGGAAUACGUAGGUGGCAAGCGUUGUUCGGAAUUAUUGGGCGUAAAGGGCUCGCAGGCGGUUUCUUAAGUCUGAUGUGAAAUCCCCCGGCUCAACCGGGGAGGGUCAUUGGAAACUGGGAAACUUGAGUGCAGAAGAGGAGAGUGGAAUUCCACGUGUAGCGGUGAAAUGCGUAGAGAUGUGGAGGAACACCAGUGGCGAAGGCGACUCUCUGGUCUGUAACUGACGCUGAUGCACGAAAGCUAGGGGAGCAAACAGGAUUAGAUACCCCGGUAGUCCCUGUCUCUUAUAC